rnacentral:rRNA from 1 species
CGGGUGAGUAACGCGUGAGCAACCUGCCUAUGACAGUGGGAUAGCCUUGGGAAACCGGGAUUAAUACCGCAUAAAAUCGUAGAAACACAUGUUUUAGCGGUCAAAGAUUUAUCGGUCAUAGAUGGGCUCGCGUCUGAUUAGCUAGUUGGUGAGAUAACAGCCCACCAAGGCGACGAUCAGUAGCCGGUCUGAGAGGAUGAACGGCCACAUUGGAACUGAGACACGGUCCAA